UACGUAGGGGGCGAGCGUUGUCCGGAAUCAUUGGGCGUAAAGCGCGCGCAGGCGGUCUUUCACGUCCGGGGUGAAAGCCCAGAGCUCAACUCUGGGAUUGCCUUGGAUACGGGGAGACUUGAGGGUCGGAGAGGCAAGGGGAAUUCCUGGUGUAGCGGUGAAAUGCGCAGAUAUCAGGAGGAACACCAAUGGCGAAGGCAGCUCGCUGGGACGGUACUGACACUGAGACGCGAAAGCGUGGGGAGCAAACAGG
rnacentral:rRNA from 1 species